rnacentral:rRNA from 1 species
AGCGAACGCUGGCGGCAGGCUUAACACAUGCAAGUCGAGCGGGCACUUUCGGGUGUCAGCGGCGGACGGGUGAGUAACGCGUGGGAACGUGCCCUCUGGUUCGGAAUAACUCAGGGAAACUUGAGCUAAUACCGGAUACGCCCUUUUGGGGAAAGGCUUGCUGCCGGAGGAUCGGCCCGCGUCUGAUUAGCUAGUUGGUGAGGUAACGGCUCACCAAGGCGACGAUCAGUAGCUGGUCUGAGAGGAUGAUCAGCCACACUGGGACUGAGACACGGCCCAGACUCCUACGGGAGGCAGCAGUGGGGAAUAUUGGACAAUGGGCGCAAGCCUGAUCCAGCCAUGUCGCGUGAGUGAUGAAGGCCUUAGGGUUGUAAAGCUCUUUUAUCCGGGACGAUAAUGACGGUACCGGAGGAAUAAGCCCCGGCUAACUUCGUG